rnacentral:lncRNA from 1 species
UAAACUGAACAUUGCGUGCAAGUUCUGUGACUUCUAGUGUAUUUACCUCAAACAGAAACUGAUUCAACACAAAUUUAGAAAAGCAGGAUUUAAACAAUAUCGUAAAAAUAAAACUAUCUUCUCAGUGCAAUGGUAAACCUCUAUUUUUGUAUGUCCUUCUAGUUCCAUAUUGUUAGUUAUCACCCAACCAUUAUGCAUGAAUAUGACACAGUGCCAGGUAUGCGGAAGUACCAGAAAACAAUCCACCAUGAAAGAACAGUAGCACCUACUGACUCUGGAAACUAAGGCCUCCUUUGGUUUGGAGGAAUUUUAUAGGAUUUUUAUAGGAUAGGAUUUUUAUAGGAAAAAUUCCUUCAGAGCUCUUUGGUUUGUAGGAAUGAAAUCCUAUUCCUAUGGAGGAAUUCUUCCUAUCCUCCACAUUUCAUAGGAAAACAAACAUUAGCCUAGACUCAAUGGAAAAAAUCCUAUGGUGUGAAUUAAAGGGCAUCUCUUUUUCUAUUCCUAUGCAUAGGAUUUGAGAUGCAUGUCAUCUCAUUUCCUAUGACUUUCCUAUUCCUAUAAUUUUCCAAUCCUAUGAACCAAAGGAGGCCUAAGUAAGAAACAUCAACUUAGCUAGCUUCAAUGCCAUGGACAGCCACAAGCCAACAAACACCAUCAACAUACAUUGCUGGUAGCUCUGGCCUAUCUGUCGCUGCGUUGCGUGGAAGGAUAUCAGAAAUCUCACAAAAAGAAG